AGCGUGAACGUAACGAUCAUGUAUUCGGUACGCGGCAGCACUCGAGUUCCCACAAGAAAAACGGAGCUUUUGCAACGCGAGCGAAAUCGGCCGGUUAGUCGACUGGCUGGCUGUGUUGGCUGGUCGUUCAGCAGCUGCAGAAAAGCGUAUCGUGUUCUCCACGAGGUGUCUUGCUUUGCCGGGAUUUUAUCGCGUGGCCCCCUUCGUGGCGUUAUACCCUGUGCUCGCUCUGUUCGCUCUGGUGCACGCGCACGAGCCGCCGCUGCCCUCUCUGUCUUACUGUGAUCUAGGCUAACCGCGUUCGUCGUUCCUCGUAAGUAGGAGCAUAACCCCAUCGCUGUAACGUACCACGGUACCAUCGUCAUCUCGAGUAUCGUUACUGCCGUGCCACCAAUACGCUGCAGCGUGACAAGCACUUCCAACCACACGCUCCUUCCUUCGUUAUCGAGUAACGAAGCGUUCGAACAUCGAAUUUAAAGGUACAAAAUGAAAGGAGAAAACAGGAUUACUCUUCCGUAGCAAACUAAAUGAGCUCGUUGCAACAUCCAUAACAAGCAGAGCAGGAUACGAGAGAGCUUCUGAGAGAUUCAGUAAUCAGUCGCAACAUUGUUGCCCGGUUUCGGGCAGAAAACCAGCGAGAAAGUGCAGAAGAAGGAAUCGAGGCCACUUGUCGAAUGGAGAUCAACUUUUCGAUGGACCUCGAAAUCCCAACUCGACCAGUGAGAGAAUCGUAUUGCCAGCAGCAUCUCUCCCGAUGCGAUCGAGAGAUCGACCGGCCGUAAAAUCAAAUUAAUCGUACGAUCACGCGUGCCAGCUACUCUCUGUGUACGUGCAAGUAUACGCGACCACAUGGGUGUGAUCCACGCUGGUGUGCGUCCGCGUGUGGGUGUGGUCCGUUGUGUUACGUGACCUCGUGGUUGUCGUAUGGCUGAAUAGGCUCGUCAAUGGCUCGUUUCAUUGAAUUAAAUAGGCCAUUCGUGCACGAGCAUAAUUACCGAACGGCCAGAGAAAGAGAAAAAGAAAAGAAAUUUAUACGAGAUCGUCUCGACUAAACGAACGAAACGGUUUCGAUUAUCCUGUUUUGAGAUGAAUUUUAAGGUCAAUACACGUGUAAAAGAUAAAGAUAGAAAGGCGAUAGAAAUAAAUAUUCUGAAAAGUGGGUAAGAAAUCGUUCGCUUAGAGAUUCUGUUGAUCGACCGUAAUGAGGACUGCGAAAAGAGAAAAAGAAGAACUGCUGAUUACAUGUUUCAACAUCGAUUGUUGCGUAAAGCGAGGCGUCUGUUGGCAAACCGGCACGAUCGUGGAACCGUAUUGUUGAGUGAGGCUGUUCUACAUUUUUGGAGAACGAAUUAGGUUACUGGUCGAUACUAUUGCAUUCGAUCGCGAAUGAUUUUGCACUGCGUUUGACAUUAGAACUAACCACAGCUAUAAUAUAUAUAUAUGUGUGUGUGUAUAUAUAUUGUUUUAAAAUUUUUCGAUGAAAAUUUUGUAUAAUUUUUAGACAAAUUUCUCCGGCUCGUUAUAUAGUUUCAGUAGGAAAAUUAAACGAGGGAAAUUCGCAGAAAGCGUGGAGGAAACGUUAAAACGACAUAACGAGCGGAUUACUCGAGCAAAAGUGCGAACAGCAAAUGUUUAAUGCUACCCGAGGCAUUUAAAUGGUUAAUCUCGCGCGCCGUUCCGGAAAUAUUUCUCACAAAAGGCGAGUUAACUCGUCAUCGUGUCCAAGUCCACGUUUAAAAGGUUAAACGUGUACACUGCACGAAUUCUGGAAAUUUCAUUGCUCAACGAUGAGAGAUGAUGAACUUAUUAUCCGUGUAAUUGCCCAGAAAACAUAAAUCGUCGAAUAGCAAAGAGAAUCGUUACUCGCCGUAAAACCAACGAAGAACAAAUGAAAUAAAGACGUUUAUUAGUUGCGAUAAUCUCUAUUUGCUGAUCGUAAAAAUUGUUAUGAAUUCUGUAUGAAUUUCCGUAGAUAUUUUUAUCUUGACGUCUAAAAUUUUUUAUAUUUUAAUGUACGAUAAAAAGUACAAAAUUCUCGUGAAACAAACAGGAAGAUAUACGACGCGAACAAAUUCUGCACCGUAUAACCGUUUUCGUUCGUAAUCUGACUCUAUUAUCGUACUUGAUCUACGGAACCUGUAUGAGACCGGCAGGUGUCUCAUACAAUACUUAUGAUUAAGACAUCUAAUACUGCUGAAGAGGGGUGUACGCUUGCUCCAAAUCGCAAGUAGAAUGCGUUUGCGACGUCGUCGCCCCGCGAUAAGUGGACCGAGACCAAGUCCUGUCUCGUCACAGUGAGUCUUUUGUACGUGGCUCCACGAUCUGUCAGAUAACAAGUAGUCGUGUUUUUACAUAUUAAUCAUUAAUGAAGAUCGUAAUUGUAGCAUAUUAAACCAUCGGUCGUCAUUCUAUCGAUGAAAUAGAGAACUUUAAUAGCGAAUAGUCGAACACAACUGGCAAUUCUAUAAAUUUUGAAAAUCAUAUUUAUUUCACAAAUUUUAUAUUUGGUAUCGAUAAUCGGUUGGAUUAGUAAUGAGAUUAAGAAUAGAUUAUGUUUCCUCCGGUAAUAAUAAUAAUAAUAAUAAUAAUAAACUGUAUACUCUGAUGUCUGCUUCGUUAUAAUUCCAUAAAUAUCAUAGAGUCUAUAUAUUUAGAAUUUAUUGGAAUUAGGAAUUUGAUUUUCUCCGAAAUAAAGUAUCGUAUGAAAAAAUUGUUCUCUAUAUUUUUUUGAGCAGAAUUUGUCCUCUGAGAGGUUGUUGAUACGUCUAAUCAAAUUAUUCUGAUUUUGUUGUCUUACGCACGACUCUAGGAACACGGUGUUCGACAGAAGAUAUUUUUACGAGCGAUGACAACAUUCGAGCGACGAUUACUCGGUUACAGUUACGUUAACGAGCAGUUUCGUAAUGACGUGGCGAGCUAGGCCAGACCAGAUAGGCCAGGUCUCCGGGAAAGCUGCUGGCAUUUAGGUCCACGGUUUACAUAUUUGUAAAUAUAUCUCCAGGGCCGUGCUAAAAAAUUCAUUCCCGGCUAGGUUCGUCGCGUUUAAAUUCGGCCUGACCUUAAGGUGAAGUGGUCUCAGCUGGAUCGGCAAACCAGUCACGCCUUGGGAUUUCUUUCUCUUUCAAGUUUUGUUAACCUUUCGAAUCGCGAAAGGGUUGCACAUGCAGAAAGGUUACCCCGUUUCAAAUACUGGAAUAUUGCAAAGAACAGACCUUUCAGUUUCGUUGAGAGUAAGCUUCUUGGGUUUGAUUUUGUUCGCCUGAUGUACACGGAACACGAAUAAUUUGGAAAUUUAAAUAUUUGAAAGUUUGGCAUCUGAAAAUUCAGAAAUUUGGACACUCGUAAGAUUUUUGAAAUCUGGAGAUUAGAAAAUUAACAAAUUCGGAAUAUCGUAAAUUUAAAAAUGUAGAAAUUUGAAGAUUCACGGAUACUGAAAUUCUGACCAUAGCUAGCAAGUUCGCAUUGAAAAUUUAUAUAUCGCGUAACUAAUGUUCUGCAAACAUGGUAAUUUAGAAAACAUGAGUCUGCAUUUUAGUAAAGUAGAGGUAUACCGGUACAUUAUCAUAGACAUAUGGAUUUAGAGAGAGUGUAAAAAAAGUUGUAACAUGCUAACCUGUUAAUGGAGUCGUUUGCUAAUCAUUUCGUAUCCUGUCUUAACGAUGCUGUCUUCAUUUUCAUUGCCUUUCCAUUUGCUUAAAAAAGGGUAACUACUUUCAAGGAAUGAAAAACGGGAUUUUGUUUUAAAAUGUUGGCAGCUCAUUAACGAAGAGACCUUCACAUUUCAUAUUUUUGCUAGAACUCGUUCAUAACAAGCCAUACCAACUUAAGACCUUCACAUUUCCUACUUUUACUACAAUUUUUUGUUCAUACUAUCUACUACGUCUACUAUACAGCUGUUUAUUUAUGUUCAUAUAUUGCUUAGCUCUCACUAACCUACGCUCAUACGACAUUUUCGUCUUACUUUUACUUUUACUCCCUCGCUUUUACUUUACUCUCACUUUUGCCCAUAAAACACGCAGACAAAAACCAGAAACCUCUGGUGCACCCUAUGCGUAUAGCAUUGACAAUUAAUUGACGAAGAAAGUGUAUCGAUGCUACAUUAAUAUAUAAAAAGUACCGACCAAGAGAUCUAACAAAUUUAACCUUAAAAAUUAAAUUUAUCCGAGUCUUUAA